AAAACGACUCUCGGCAACGGAUAUCUCGGCUCUCGCAUCGAUGAAGAACGUACGAAAUGCGAUACUUGGUGUGAAUUGCAGAAUCCCGUGAACCAUCGAGUCUUUGAACGCAAGUUGCGCCCGAAGCCACUAGGCCGAGGGCACGUCUGCCUGGGCGUCACGC
rnacentral:rRNA from 1 species